rnacentral:rRNA from 1 species
CGGUUAAGUUAGAAAGGGCGCACGGUGGAUGCCUUGGCACUAGGAGCCGAUGAAGGACGGGACGAACACCGAUAUGCUUCGGGGAGCUGUAAGCAAGCUUUGAUCCGGAGAUUUCCGAAUGGGGAAACCCACCACUCGUAAUGGAGUGGUAUCCAUAUCUGAAUUCAUAGGAUAUGAGAAGGCAGACCCGGGGAACUGAAACAUCUAAGUACCCGGAGGAAGAGAAAGCAAAUGCGAUUCCCUGAGUAGCGGCGAGCGAAACGGGAUUAGCCCAAACCAAGAGGCUUGCCUCUUGGGGUUGUAGGACACUCUGUACGGAGUUACAAAGGAACGAGGUAGAUGAAGAGGUCUGGAAAGGCCCGCCAUAGGAGGUAACAGCCCUGUAGUCAAAACUUCGUUCUCUCCUGAGUGGAUCCUGAGUACGGCGGAACACGUGAAAUUCCGUCGGAAUCCGGGAGGACCAUCUCCCAAGGCUAAAUACUCCCUAGUGACCGAUAGUGAACCAGUACCGUGAGGGAAAGGUGAAA